rnacentral:rRNA from 1 species
AUUGAACGCUAGCGGGAUGCUUUACACAUGCAAGUCGAACGGCAGCGCGGACUUCGGUCUGGCGGCGAGUGGCGAACGGGUGAGUAAUGUAUCGGAACGUGCCCAGUAGCGGGGGAUAACUACGCGAAAGCGUAGCUAAUACCGCAUACGCCCUACGGGGGAAAGCAGGGGAUCGUAAGACCUUGCACUAUUGGAGCGGCCGAUAUCGGAUUAGCUAGUAGGUGAGGUAACGGCUCACCAAGGCGACGAUCCGUAGCUGGUUUGAGAGGACGACCAGCCACACUGGGACUGAGACACGGCCCAGACUCCUACGGGAGGCAGCAGUGGGGAAUUUUGGACAAUGGGGGCAACCCUGAUCCAGCCAUCCCGCGUGUGCGAUGAAGGCCUUCGGGUUGUAAAGCACUUUUGGCAGGAAAGAAACGUCGCGGGCUAAUACCCCGUGGAACUGACGGUACCUGCAGAAUAAGCACCGGCUAACUACGUG